rnacentral:rRNA from 1 species
AAUCUCUUAGCAAGGAACAAUUGGAGGGCAAGUCUGGUGCCAGCAGCCGCGGUAAUUCCAGCUCCAAUAGCGUAUAUUAAAGUUGUUGCAGUUAAAAAGCUCGUAGUUGAACUUCUGGGCGUUCUCACAGUGGCUCCGGUCGUUGUGAGAGCGUUCAUCCGUCUGAGAACUACAUUCGGCCUUCGCUGGUCGGUGUAGGGAUCAGGCAUUUUACUUUGAAAAAAUUAGAGUGUUCCAGGCAGGCAAUCGCCUUGAAUACACAAGCAUGGAAUAAUGGAAUAGGACUAUGAUUCAUUUUGUUGGUUAUUGGAUCAUAGUAAUGAUUAACAGGGACAGUUGGGGGCAUUAGUAUUUAAUUGUCAGAGGUGAAAUUCUUGGAUUUAUUAAAGACUAACUUAUGCGAAAGCAUUUGCCAAGGAUGUUUUCAUUAAUCAAGAACGAAAGUUAGGGGAUCAAAGACGAUCAGAUACCGUCCUAGUCUUAACCAUAAACUAUUCCGACUAGGGAUUGGUUGGGUUCCUUCAGCCCAAUCAGCACCUUAUGAGAAAUCAAAGUCUUUGGGUUCCGGGGGGAGUAUGGUCGCAAGGCUGAAACUUAAAGGAAUUGACGGAAGGGCACCACCAGGAGUGGAGCCUGCGGCUUAAUUUGACUCAACACGGGGAAACUCACCAGCGCAAAACAUGGGUGGGAUUGACAGAUUGAGAGCUCUUUCUUGAUUCUAUGGGUGGUGGUGCAUGGCCGUUCUUAGUUGGUGGAGUGAUUUGUCUGGUUAAUUCCGUUAACGAACGAGACCUUAACCUGCUAACUAGUUUCUUCAUGUUAAAUGGGGAGGACUUCUUAGAGGGACUAUGAGUGCAAGCUCAUGGAAGUUUGAGGCAAUAACAGGUCUGUGAUGCCCUUAGAUGUGCUGGGCCGCACGCGCGCUACACUGAUACGUUCAGCAAGUUUUAUCCUGGUCCGGAAGGAUUUCGGGUAAUCUUUGUAAAGCGUAUCGUGCUGGGGAUCGAUCUUUGCAAUUAUAGAUCUUGAACGAGGAAUUCCUAGUAAGUGCAAGUCAUCAGCUUGUACUGAUUACGUCCCUGCCCUUUGUACACACCGCCCGUCGCUCCUACCGAUUCGAGUGAUCCGGUGAACCUUCUGGACUGCUGAGGUCUCGGCCUCGGUGGAAAGUUAAGUAAACCUUAUCACUUAGAGGAAGGAGAAGUCGUAACAAGGU